rnacentral:rRNA from 1 species
AUAUCAAUAAGCGGAGGAAAAGAAACUAACAAGGAUUCCCCUAGUAACUGCGAGUGAAGCGGGAAAAGCUCAAAUUUUGAAUCUGGCGGUCUUUUGGCCGUCCGAGUUGUAAUCUAGAGAAGCGUUUUCCGCGCUGGACCGUGUAUAAGUUUCCUGGAAUGGAACGUCGUAGAGGGUGAGAAUCCCGUCUUUGACACGGACGACCAGGGCUAUGUGAUGCGCUCUCGACGAGUCGAGUUGUUUGGGAAUGCAGCUCAAAUAGGGUGGUAAAUUCCAUCUAAAGCUAAAUACAGGCGAGAGACCGAUAGCGAACAAGUACCGUGAGGGAAAGAUGAAAAGAACUUUGGAAAGAGAGUUAAACAGUACGUGAAAUUGCUGAAAGGGAAACGCUUGAUGUCAGUCGCGUUGGCCGGGGAUCAGCCUUGCUUAACUGCUUGGCGUACUUCCUGGUCGACGGGUCAGCAUCAGUUUUGAUCGUCGGAAAAGGACUGGAGGAAUGUGGCACUCUUUCGGGAGUGUGUUAUAGACUCUGCUCGAAUACGAUGGUUGGGACUGAGGAACUCAGCACGACCUUAGGGUUCGGGGCUUCGGCCUACGUUCGCGUGCUUGGGAUGCCGGCAUAAUGGCCUUAAGCGA